rnacentral:rRNA from 1 species
AUUGAACGCUGGCGGCAUGCCUUACACAUGCAAGUCGAACGGCAGCACGGGAGCAAUCCUGGUGGCGAGUGGCGAACGGGUGAGUAAUAUAUCGGAACGUGCCCAGUCGUGGGGGAUAACGCAGCGAAAGCUGUGCUAAUACCGCAUACGAUCUAAGGAUGAAAGCGGGGGAUCGCAAGACCUCGCGCGAUUGGAGCGGCCGAUAUCAGAUUAGCUAGUUGGUGGGGUAAAGGCCCACCCAGGCGCCGAUCUGUAGCGGGUCUGAGAGGACGACCAGCCACACUGGAAGUGAGAGCCGGUCCAGACUCCUACGGGAGGCAGCAGUGGGGAAUUUUGGACGAGGGGCGCAAGCCUGAUUCAGCAAUGCCGCGUGCAGGAUGAAGGCCUUCGGGUUGUAAACUGCUUUUGUACGGAACGAAACGGCCCUUUCUAAUACAGGGGGCUAAUGACGGUACCGUAAGAAUAAGCACCGGCUAACUACGUGCCAGCAGCCGCCGUAACAC